rnacentral:lncRNA from 1 species
CCGUUGGUUGCAGUUUAAGAAAUUCUCAAAACUUGAUAUUUCAAACAACUACAAUCUUGGAUACAAUUAUGAUCACCAUAUGGUUUUAUCAACUACCAAAACCUUUACAUAAAAUUUAAAAGUGUCAUAUCCACAUCCAUAACUAAGCACCUAGACAUAUAUGCAUAAAGUCUAAAAUAUAAUAUAAGAUAAUUUAACAAUACAAUUCCAAACGUUUAGCACAUAAAGUACAAAAAUACUUCCUCUUAAUCUUGAAGCACAUAGGCAAGAAGCAAAACCUCCAUUGAAUCUCAACAUCCAUGGCUUCAACCUUGCCACCACAGUGAGGACAAGAUCCAGGAGCUUGUUUCCUCCCAAGUUCCUUCUCUCCCUCAUCACACACGUACGUGAACAUCAUUUAUCUCCUGCAAGUUGAUGUUGUUUAUUAAGUUGCGUAGCCGAUGAUCAGUCGAGGAUCAGGUCUACCUCUUCCUUAGUCGCGGAGUCGAUGAUCCACCGAGGAUCGGGUCACGAUGAAUUUGCCUUGAUUUUAGAACUAGUUAGUGGAGUAGCUUGGUGUAGCUAACGCGGUGCUGGCAAUUCUUAAGGGACAAUGCAUAGGGGGCCAGGUGAAGUAUUUAUAGAAGAACAUUUGGUUGUUAGUUCAUUAGAAUAUUCCUCUCGAUAGUUUUAAUGCUUU